GGUCCAAAAACGCUAAAGGACAAAUUGUUUUGCUCCUUUAAUGAAGUUUUUACAUUGUUUGAAUUUUGGGUUCUAGUGUAAUUACAUGAAGUAGUGGACUUUCGUAUUUUUACAAAGUGACCCCAAAAGUUUAUGUUUUUGCAAUAUAGCCCAAAUGUUGUGGUAAUUGCAUUUGGGCCCAAAUUUGGUUGAGAACAAAAU
rnacentral:lncRNA from 1 species